AAUGUGUUUGUGUCACAAUGAGAAAGAGAUUAGAAAUGUGUUUGUGUCACAAUGUUUCUAAUCUCUUUCUCAUUGUGACACGAACACA
rnacentral:pre_miRNA from 1 species